AGAAUAUGAAUUACCUCAGUAGAAUCCACAUUUAUUUCCAGUGGUAUGAAAUUAUGUUGCAAGGCUAUAUGCAAUCCUUCAAGCAGAGCAUGUAGUUCCAUUAACGUGGGAGUGCCUUCAUUGCGACGUGCUGCAUAACCUCUUACCAAUUGGCCAGUACUGUCCCAGAAGAUUCCACUUAUGCCAUGUUGAGUGGUGAACUGUGUGGAAGCACCAUCGCAAUUGAGUUUAUAGUAGUCUUGUUGGUUUAAUGCCAUUUGAUAUGGAUUGAGGAGGUUUAUUUGGGGUAUGAAGCUUUGUUAUUAAUUAGAUAAGUAUAUUCUGUAGCUUCUCAUAUUAUAAAGCUUGUAUUGGGGUAAGAAUGUGUGUUAUGUUUCUAUUUCGACUUUUUCCAUAUAUGUCAGAGGGCAUAGGGUAUAAGAGUGUUUGGUGGGAGGGAG
rnacentral:lncRNA from 1 species